CCUAUCUUUCAAAACUAAGUGUAGUUCUAUAAAACAAAACCGCAAGGUAAAUGCAUGAUUGUUAUUUGUUUUCUUUGGGAUUUUUAAUACAAUUAUGUGAUUCAAUCAUAAGGUUUUUCCAGCUAUACCUUUUUUUACAAAGUAUUUGUGAAGAAUAUUCUAUUUUUAAUAAUAUAAUAUUUAUUAUUAUUUUAAGAAUUAUUUAUGAUAAAAAAAAUCUUCAGGUUCGUUUUUAUGUAAUGAUUUUAUGAAAAUAAAAUAAUUAUCUAUAAUUAUAUUCGAUUUUGUAUUGUGAAAUAUAUACUUUUUGUUAGUAUAAUAUUAAAUUUUAGUUAGAUUACUUAAAUUGUUUUAUAUAUUUAAAAGUAUUUUUUCCAAAUUUACUCUUUAUUUUGAUUAAUGUGUGGUUGACAAAAAAAAUAAAAAAAAUAGAUGGUACUUAUUUGGUCUUCCAAGCCACAUCACAUAAGGUAAACUAAUCUUUAUGUUCUUUUCUUGUGCAAUGAAAAAUGUUGGUUCUCAAUCAAAUUAGUAAUUCUCAUUAAACUUCUAGAUUCUCUUAUAUGCUAAAACAAAAUCUUAAAACUCUAAACAUAUUAAAAAGCCGUGGAAACGUCCUAACACUUUGAAAUCUAAUAAAUUUUAUGGUUGUUAUCAGCUAGAGAUGUAAAAAGACGAUUCUCUUGAUCUUAUUGAUGAAGGUUUUCAAGAUGACUUCUUUUUCUUUGAGUACAUAAGACAUGGAAAAAUUCAACUUUUAAGUGAUUGCAAUACUAGCUACUACCCUUUUUCUCUAGGCCAUAAAUGACAUAAAAACAUAUGGUCUCAGAAGAUUAUAUUUGUGGAAUGCAGCUUUUGUCAGCUCAUCAAUGCCAUUAAGCAACUUGCUAUUGUAGAAAUGCCUUAGACGGAAACAAGAAAUAUGUGGAUGCAUUCGAUAUUGGGUCGAAAGCAUUACCACUUCUUGUCUUGCCUUCUUACAUGUGCACAAACAAGCUUCGUUGGAAAGACAGCUGCAUUCGAUAUUGGGUCGAAAGCAUUAACCUUUAUAAUAUGUAGUUUUUAUAUUUCGUAUUUUAAAAAGUUGUUAAUAUUUUCCUCAACGACGCUAUAAUGUAUAUAUAAACUUCUAUUAAAAUGACUUUAUUUGUAUUUAAAAACAUAUUUUAGAUUGAUUAUAAUUUGAAAGAAC
rnacentral:lncRNA from 1 species